AUGGCCAUACAUGGGAUUGGAGGGAAAGAUGAUCCAGUACUGGAAACCAGAGUCUGCAGGAGACCAAACGUCUCACGUGAUGGUGAUAAUGCAUACGUACUGCUGGCUGCUGUUAAGAAGUCCAGUGCUCUGCUCUCUACACUGCAGAAACCCCACGGUCCUGGGGGGCAGGGGGACGACACCCCUCUGCUCUCCCGAAUGCAGCAUCCGCCUGGAGCUAGCUCCCGACCCCGCAGCUGCCCGCAGGAGACCGUGGAGCGCCCUCCUCUUCCAGGAGCUACUCCUUUGGUGUGGGUGUUGUGCCCAUGGUCCUUUCCAGUCGCUCAAGGCCCCCGCUGCCCCGCGCUCAGCGCUCUGCCCGCGCUCCCUGCGCUGCUGCGGCUCAGGGCAGCCUGGGCCGGGCUGGGCUGGCUGCUCCCCGCGGAGGGCGCGGGGAAAUGCAGCCUGGGCAAGGCGGUGGCGAGCCAGGUCCUGGUGAGCGCUGUCAGCUGGCCCAGAGUGUCGUGGAGACGGGGAGAUGGUCUUUCAGGGCAGCAGUCGGCUCUGAAAGCACCGUGUGUCCUCCACGGGACAGCCCCAAGCUGCUUGCUGGUGUCUUUGAUCCUGUCCUUUGAGUAGAGUGUAAUGUAUGUGUUUACAUGUUCCCUCUAACUCAGUUCCAUUAACUCUCAUGGGAAAACCUUCAUUACCAGUGUUUAGGAAUAUGUCUUUGGGAAAUGGCUGGGCUUUGGCUGAAUCUUCCUAUCAUCUUGCCAUUGAACAAACUGUCCCUGGAGCGUACUUUUUUCAGGAAGGAAGAAAAACUUCAGUUACUUCCUUUCUUUUCCAUCUGAGACACCUUUUUGUUUAUUGUAUAAACUUACAUAAGCUCAUUUAAUUGGAAACAUUGCUACCAAUUUAAGAGGCAUUACACCAGGCACAGUGAAUGUAUGGUACAGGCUUCCAGGUAUUUUGGAGAUAGGGGAAGUCUAUUCAAUUCCACUAGCACUUCUAGAGCCACUCCAGGGGUACUACAUGUGCUUUUAGUGGCUCACAUUAGCCCCUCUAUGAUGAUUGUGGCAGAGAUCAUUUAGAUGCAGGAAAUUGUGAUAUCAAGUGCCUGGCACAAUGCUUGUUUGUUCAGGAUCAGGACUUUGAACUGAAUUAUAGAAGAUUGAAGAAGAUAGAGCUGGAGUUUGCAAAUGGCCAUACAUUUCUUCUACCAGUGUUUUAAACAGCCAAGCAUCUACCGUAAAAGCAUCUUCUGGGGAACAGCUAUUUCUACAGACAGCAUUAUUUGCUACCACUCCCUCACAAACCAUCUGUUUAACACAGCAACAUAACAUUUUCAGCUCACAAAGAUGAAAAUAUUAGUGACUCUCACUGCAUAUAGUCAAGUUUUAUAUCUGUUACCAAAAUGGGAAAAACAAGGCAGUUUCAUGAAUAAGUCACAGUAACUUACCUACUAGCACAUUUAACUUACCAGGAUUCAUAGUACUGUUUCUUUUUAGGGUUUCUUUUUAGCAGUGAUAUAGGCGCAGGCAGGAGACUAGUUAUCCUAUCAAGCAUUUGCAUCUGUUCCAACUUAGAGAAACACCCAAAACUACGGUCCUAUUUAGUCAGAAUUCCAUUUAUUUAAUAAAAAGAAUGUUUGAAACCUAGCUUUACUCAUUACUCAAAUAACUCAUCUCUAUUCCCUUGCUUGUGGCCGUGUAUUGGUUUCACAUUUUGCCCCAGCAUUAGCACUGCAUGUGCUCUAAGAUUGUCUUUUUUCCCCCUUCUGCCUGUACACCAUACUCCAAACUUUACUGGAACAGUCCAGGGUAUUUGAUUAUCCUUAUGUCAGUGUUCAGAACAGAGAAAGAAGCAAAAAUCUGCCAGCUCAAGUCUUUUUCAAGUUAUCUGUAAGGAGAUUAACUUUGAUCUGGUUAUGCAUGAUCUGGUUAAUCAUAUCAUAGUCUAGCCAAAUUAGUCCAGGUUUGUGUUGUUACCAGCUACUUCUUACUGUGACCACCAGUGCUCUGCAUGUGCAUCCACAACAUGGCUCUCACAAAGGGAGGUAACCUACUCACACAGGCAAAUGCAUACUUUGCAGCCCUGAGUGGCACAUCACAUUGGGCAGAGGCAGAAAUAUGAGGAGGCUUAGAGAAGGCAGCACAAAGCACCACUAUCAGGUGCCCCUGCAGUGUUGCUCAGGGCGUUAUGGGGACCUUUCCAUGAUGGAAAGUGUAUUUGUGGGCUUGGAGAAAGUCACCUGUGUAGCUGAGAAGAUUGUUCAGGAGAUCGUGAUCUGUGAUCUGAUCUAUAGAGAGCAAAUGAAACAAAAGACUGGCUCUUAGGAUUGAUAUUCUCAUGUGCCAGGUCUGCCCUCCGUGAUUUUUCUAUUUAAGAUCCCUACUCCUCCAUGUUUAAGGUGACAGGCAAACUAGAAAUAGAAAAAAAAAAAAUCCCCUCUUUUAGCAGAUGAAGUAUUCCUAGUCUCUUCCUGUGUUUUCCAACCAGGGUACCUUAGCUCAGCUGUGCUGGUACAAGAUUGUGGUCCUGCUAUGAACCAGAAUGGGAAAUGCAACCCAGGGAAAUGAUGUCUUUUUUCUUCAAGUUAACCCAUAUGAAUUCUGCAACUUUGUUAAAAUUUAAAAAAACCAAGCAAACAAUGAAAACCAAGAACAAAACCAAACUCAACCAAAGCAACUAAAUCUCAAGCCACAAGCAAAAAAACCAACCAAAACCACAAACCCACAAAACACAGCAAAAUCUAAACAAAAUAGCAGAACCAAAACAAUAGAGAAAGUUAUAUUUUGUUCCAUAGUAGUAGGAAAUAAAUAAUGGGAAUUGGAUACGUAAAGCUGGGCAAGCAUGGAUCUUUGUGCAGAACAAAAAGUAUAUGAUGAAUGUAUAUGCUUUCAGCACCAACACUGCUAUGUUAUUUUAAGUUUCUUCUUCAGUUUGUGGUUCUGAUUUAUCUGAAGCUGGCAAAGUCUUUACAGCUAGUCAUAUAAGAAUUUACUCAAAUGGACAAAUUAAACUAUUUGUGUAAAGCAUUUCUGUCUGUAGGAUGUCCUCUGUCCUUCUGGAAACAACUCCUUGCAAUCUCCUGCCCUUGAGAAUUUCUUCUGAUGUUGAGCCGGGUGUGUUUCUCCCGAAGACCUCUAACCUACAGCAGUGCCCAUGGUGCCUCACUUACCCGUGCAGCUGACUCAGAUAUUAUGUUACACUGGGAUGAUUAGUGUCAAGCUCAGUUAUUUUUUUCCUCAGAAACAGCUGGCUUAAUUGCACGUGUCCUCUGAUUGUUACUGUGCAAACAAAAAUGGGCAAUAGCAAACAUCCUGAGUUAGGAUAAGGAUCCAGCUAAAACACAGAAUUCUAUCAGAAUUCAUUAUCUGGUUAGGAACCACAUUUUCCACUGCAAGGUGAAAUUAUCGAUUCCAAACAAUUUUUGAGUCCUUGAAAAAGGAUUUCUAUGAUCUUGCUGCAAUGGAAACAUCUUUCUAUACAUUCCAUAGUCUAAAACCUGAGUUGAUUGAUGUCAUCAAUUGAUGAUUGAGAGAAAUGAAGUUCAAUAGCAAUGUAUGAAAACUUCAGAAACUGAUAGCAGGCUAAAGAAGCUGUAAAAUGGAAACUGUGGUCAAACUCAUUAUAGCUUUUACUGCCAUUUUAGCAGUUUUCCUCUCAAUGGCAUGAGUGAAGAAUACAUGGUGUGGUGCGGUGUGGUAUGGCAUGGUAAUGGUUAUGGGUAUGGUGUGGCAUGGCAUGGGAUGGUGCAGCAUGGUGAGGUAUGGAAAGACCAUUGUGCUCGCAGAAUAAAGUGCUACUUCUCAUGAAGUAGCUUUCCUUGCCAAAUCAGACAGUGCAUUAGUAAUUCACCUUUAAUAAGGAUUUUUUGUCUUCUCUAGGGAAUUUUUACAUCAGUGUCUCAUUAAGGUCUACUUGUCUAGGUUUUCUGUUUAAAGCAUGACUUCAGUGCUUACAGACAAGCCCCCCUUUUUCAUAUUCAUCUAAUUUGGUCGUAGUGUGCAAGUCAAUAGUUUAUAAAACCUAUGAGUCUCACUGCCAGCCUGAAAAAAUGAAGCACGUGUGGUGAGUGAUGGUUGCUGUUGGGUUUUUUUUUGUUUUGUUUUUGUUUGUUUGUUUUGUUUUGUUUUGUUUUGUUUUGUUUUGUUUUGUUUUGUUUUGUUUUGUUUUGUUUUGUUUUGUUUUGUUUUGUUUUGUUUUGUUUUGUUUUGUUUUGUUUUGUUUUGU
ensembl:lncRNA